CAGCCGCCGCGGUAAAACGGAGGAUCCAAGCGUUAUCCGGAAUCAUUGGGUUUAAAGGGUCCGUAGGCGGUCUUGUAAGUCAGUGGUGAAAGCCCAUCGCUCAACGGUGGAACGGCCAUUGAUACUGCAGGACUUGAAUUAUUGGGAAGUAACUAGAAUAUGUAGUGUAGCGGUGAAAUGCUUAGAGAUUACAUGGAAUACCAAUUGCGAAGGCAGGUUACUACCAAUUGAUUGACGCUGAUGGACGAAAGCGUGGGUAGCGAACAGGAUUAGAUACCCCGGUAGUCCCUGUCUCUUAUAC
rnacentral:rRNA from 1 species